rnacentral:lncRNA from 1 species
ACACUUGUAUAAUGUCUCAAAAGUGGUGAGUGCCUGACACCUUUUUGCUGAACUGAGGCCUGCCUAACUCAGCGUCCUCUUCACUGUGUCAUCAUUCCUACCUGUGAUGAUGGGAUUAAAAACCAAAUACAGUAUAAAGAAAAUGUAGUAUAUCCAUACAGUGGAAUAGUAUUAGACAUAAAAAAAUGGAAGAACUGGCACAUGCUACAAAAUGAUUAAACCUUGGAAACAUUAUGCUAAGUGAAGGAAGCCAAACACAAAAGACUACAUAUUGCACGAUUCCAUUUAUAUGAAGUGUCCAGAAUAGGCAAAUCCACAGAGACAGAAAGAGUAGUCGCAGCCAGGGCCUGGAGGAGGGAGAAGUGAGGAAUGACUGCUAAUGGGCAUGCGGUUUCUGUUUGGGGUGAUUCAAAGAGUUCUGGAACUAGACAGUGGUGAUGUUUGCACAACAUUGUGAAUGUACUUAAUGCCACCAAACUGUACACUUUAAAGUGGUUAAAAUGGUAAAUGUUAUGUGUAUUUUACCACAGUGAAAAGGUAAAAAAUAUAAUCCACUGUUGCCUUGCUGGGGCAGGGGGACAGCACUUCCGGGCAUCCAUAGCCCCUCCUCAACUCUGCACCCCUCAAUCACUAGCUCUGCUCAAAAUUCUCCUUCAGGCCUAGAAUAACCCAACACUAAUGAAUGGAAAGUGGUGACAAUUGUCUUUUUAAAACCCAACCACCCUUCACACACACAUGCAGAUGUAUGGUUUCCAUGUUUCCUAUAUGAAUACACGAAAACAUGAAUGAAGGUAUAGGUGAUGUGGAGGGAAACUUCAUUCAUUCACACUAAUUACCAUAAUAAGAGCAAAUACAAUUUGAGUGGUCACUGUGUGCUGGGCAUGAUGCAAGGUGAUCUGAUGAUAAAUAUCUAAUGACAUUUCAGCAGGGGUGAUAUUAUCAUGCCCUGAUUAGGAAAUGGAGACCUUCAGAAGUUGUGAUUUGCCUGAAACUACAGAGAUGACAUGUAGUAGAGCAGGAAUCCAAACCAUUUCCAACUUCCAAGUUCAUGCAUAUCCAGACAAGAAGUGUCUGAAAUAAAGAAAAUCCUAGCUUGCAGAAUAUAAAUAAAUUAUUGCAGUUUUAUUCUUUUUCCCUGAUACAUUAACUAAACCUGGUGAGCAGGCUAUUUCUUAAUAGGAGCUCCUAAAUAUGAAACAUUACAUAUAAAUUGAUAAGAUUUUAUUUGGAAUUUGAGCUCCUAUGUGCUGAUUUGUGGUAUAAAUGUUCACUGCUGAAAAAGAAAAAUCAUUUUCAUAGGAAAAAAUGACUUCAGGAUUCACCACUGUAUGGAAAGUCAACAAUGCAAAAUUAGUGGAGGUCAUUUGGUGAGGUUUGAGUGAUGUGAGUGGUUUCCCAUGAAACCGUGGGAAGGUUUCAUCACUGAGCAGUCCCAUCAAGGAGUGGUGCUCAUCUUAUCCUUACAUGCAGCUAAUCUCAUCCCAUGAGUGCCAGGAAGCCCCUGUGCUGUUUUUCACAUGUGUGAAGAGGGGUAACUUUACAUGGCAUAGGUGAUUGAUGGGCUCAGCAAUUUGGAUAUAUUGAGAGAAGCAUUGGGUAGUGUCCAUCAGUUGGAGGACUCAGUGGCCACCUGCAGUCACUGUCAAUGGACAGCCUUCACUGGACCCACUGAAGAGCAGCUUCUCAGUCUCUGUGUCACAGUGAGCACCCAAUUAAUGGAGAGUGGAUGGGACAUUGCCUUUGUGUCCAACUCACUCCCUAGACCCAGCCACCCACAGGGCUCUUUUCCACGUCUCUCCUCUCCCCACCCCUUCUGAAGUCCUCCAGGAGGACAUCAGGAUUAGUAUCUUCUCUACCCUCAUUCUGUCCUUUUCCAGCCUAUUGUUAUUAAACACACUGUGCCCAGUCCUCUCAUGACCUUCCAUUUUGAUCCUCCAGAUCUUGUAUUAGAAAUUUAAGUGAAGUGAUUUUUCUCUAUAACUCCCGUUUUAACCACCCCAAUUCUUCUUGAAACAGUGAGGGUACCUCCAACUCACAGUGGUUUCCAAAGUGGGACGCAAGAUGAUUCAUUUGGGUAUGACAGAAAAAAUUAAAACUUCAAUAUAUUUCUUUCAAAAAUUAAAAAAUUAUACUUUAUUGGUUUUGAAUAUAUAUGGAUUGGCAGUAAUGUACUACACAUAUAUCUGUGACACUAAUAGGAAUGUGCAGUAUAAGAAAACCAGAAAUUCCUAUUCUUAGUGAUUGCAAAAGGUCAAUAUAUGUAAAAUGUGGAAAAGAAAUGAAGAAUAAAAGAUAAAUAUUUCAAAAUAA